UUGACCUCGGAUCAGGUAGGAAUACCCGCUGAACUUAAGCAUAUCAAUAAGCGGAGGAAAAGAAACCAACAGGGAUUGCCCCAGUAACGGCGAGUGAAGCGGCAACAGCUCAAAUUUGAAAUCUGGCCCCAGGCCCGAGUUGUAAUUUGCAGAGGAUGCUUUUGGCGCGGUGCCUUCCGAGUUCCCUGGAACGGGACGCCAUAGAGGGUGAGAGCCCCGUACGGUUGGACACCAAGUCUUUGUAAAGCUCCUUCGACGAGUCGAGUAGUUUGGGAAUGCUGCUCAAAAUGGGAGGUAUAUUUCUUCUAAAGCUAAAUAUUGGCCAGAGACCGAUAGCGCACAAGUAGAGUGAUCGAAAGAUGAAAAGCACUUUGAAAAGAGGGUUAAACAGCACGUGAAAUUGUUAAAAGGGAAGCGCUUAUGACCAGACUUGCGCCCGGUGAAUCACCCAGCUCUCGCGGCUGGGGCACUUUGCCGGCUCAGGCCAGCAUCAGCUCGCUGUCGGGGACAAAAGCUUCGGGAACGUAGCUCUCUUCGGGGAGUGUUAUAGCCCGUUGCACAAUACCCUUCGGC
rnacentral:rRNA from 1 species